GGCCUCUUCUAAGCUACCGCGUCGGGAUCGGCCCGCGUCUCAUUAGCUUGAUGGUGGGGUAAUGGCCUACCAUGGCUCCGAUGAGUAACUGGUCUGAGAGGAU
rnacentral:rRNA from 1 species